UCAAGCGCGAGAAGGGCGUUUGGUGGAUGCCUUGGCAGUAAGAGGCGAUGAAGGACGUGAUACUCUGCGAUAAGCUUUGGGAAGUCGAGAAUAGACGCUAUACCCAAAGAUCUCCGAAUGGGGCAACCCAACUGAUACUUUGUUAUUGUUACACUUUUGUGUAAUCAAUAAUGGGGUAAAACAGUUAUUAAUUACCUGAAUACAUAGGGUUUUUAAAGCAAACCUGGGGAACUGAAACAUCUAAGUACCCAGAGGAAAGGAAAUCAAUAGAUACUCCCGUAGUAGUGGCGAGCGAACCGGGACCAGCCGAGCGAUGAAUGUGACUAGAACCAGUUGGAAAGCUGGGCAAUAUGGGUGACAGCCCCGUAUAGGAAGCAUGAUUUGACGUAUUAAGUAGGGCGGAACACGUGAAAUUCUGUCUGAACAUGGGGGGACCACCCUCUAAGGCUAAGUACUCCUUACUGACCGAUAGCGAACCAGUACCGUGAGGGAAAGGUGAAAAGCACCCCGACGAGGGGAGUGAAACAGUUUCUGAAACCGGACGCCUACAAUCAGUCGGAGGCCCCUUGAGGGCUGACGGCGUACCUUUUGUAUAAUGGGUCAUCGACUUAGUGUAUCUAGCAAGCUUAAGCCGUUAGGUGUAGGCGCAGCGAAAGCGAGUCUUAAUAGGGCGAUUGAGUUAGAUGCAUUAGACCCGAAACCGAGUGAUCUAGGCAUGGCCAGGUUGAAGGUAAGGUAACACUUACUGGAGGACCGAACCCACAUCCGUUGAAAAGGAUCGGGAUGAGCUGUGCCUAGGGGUGAAAGGCCAAUCAAACUCGGAGAUAGCUGGUUCUCCGCGAAAUCUAUUUAGGUAGAGCGUCAUCCGAAUACCCCGGGGGGUAGAGCACUGGAUGGGUAAUGGGGCCCCACAGGCUUACUGAUCCUAACCAAACUCCGAAUACCCGGGAGUAAUAGAUGGCAGACACACUGCGGGUGCUAACGCCCGUAGUGAAAAGGGAAACAACCCUGACCGACAGUUAAGGCCCCUAAUUCAUGGCUAAGUGGAAAAGCAGGUGAGACGACCAUAACAACCAGGAAGUUGGCUUAGAAGCAGCCAUCUUUUAAAGAUAGCGUAACAGCUCACUGGUCUAAUUAAGUUGUCUUGCGGCGAAAAUGUAACGGGGCUCAAGCCAUGAGCCGAAACUUCGGAUGCAUUUAUGCAUGGUAGCGGAGCGUAGUGUGACAUAGUUCCAUGCGUCUUUAACUUCCUUCGGGGAGUAUUGGACGCAAGGAGCUUUCUGUGAAGCCGGCCUGUGAGGGAUCCGGUGGAGAGAUCACUAGUGAGAAUGAUGACAUGAGUAACGACAAAGGGGGUGAGAGACCCCCUCGCCGAAAAUCCAAGGGUUCCUGCUUAAAGCUAAUCUGAGCAGGGUGAGCCGGCCCCUAAGCCGAGGGCGAAAGCCGUAGGCGAUGGGAACCAGGUUAAUAUUCCUGGGCCAGGAGGAAGUGACGGAUCAUGAAGAUUGUUGGAUCAGGCGUAGUUGCCCCAGCAGUUAAUUGGUUCCUGGAAAUAGCCCUCCAUCAGACCGUACCCUAAACCGACACAGGUGGAUAGGUAGAGUAUACCAAGGCGCUUGAGAGAACUAUGUUGAAGGAACUCGGCAAAAUACCUCCGUAAGUUCGCGAGAAGGAGGCCCGGUUUCUAGGCAACUGGAAGCUGGGGGCACAAACCAGGGGGUGGCGACUGUUUACUAAAAACACAGGGCUCUGCGAAGUCGUAAGACGACGUAUAGGGUCUGACGCCUGCCCGGUGCCUGAAGGUUAAAAGGAGGGGUGAGAGCUCCGAAUUGAAGCCCAGGUAAACGGCGGCCGUAACUAUAACGGUCCUAAGGUAGCGAAAUUCCUUGUCGGG
rnacentral:rRNA from 1 species